GAUGAACGCUGUCGGCGUGCCUAAUACAUGCAAGUCGAGCGCAGCGGGGACGUGUGAGUCACACGUGGCUAACCUCCUAUAAGACUGGGAUAACUUCGGGCCACCGGAUCUAAACCGGCUCCUUCUAGAUGGAUCCGCGCUGCAUUAGCUAGUUUGUAAGGUAACGGCUUACCAAGGCAACGAUGCAUAGCCGACCUGAGAGGGUGAUCGGCAACCCUGGAACGGAGACACGGUCCAGAGUCCUACGGGAGGCAGCAGUAGGGAAUAUUCCGCAAUGGGCGAAAGCCUGAUGGAGCAACGCCGCGUGAGUGAUGAAGGUCUUCGGAUCGUAAAACUCUGUUAUGAGGGAAGCGGUACCUAAUCAGAAAGCCACGGCUAACUACGUGCCAGCAGCCGCGGUAAUAC
rnacentral:rRNA from 1 species